UACGUAGGGGCAAGCGUUGUCCGGAAUCAUUGGGCGUAAAGAGCGUGUAGGCGGCCCGAUAAGUCCGCUGUGAAAGUCCAGGCUUAACCUGGGAAUGGCCAUGGAAACUGGCGAGCGUGGAGUGUGGCAGAGGGGGUGGAAUUCCGCGUGUAGCAGUGAAAUGCGUAGAGAUGCGGAGGAACACCCGGAUGGCGAAGGCAGCCCCCUGGGCUAACACUGACGCUGGAGGCAACGAAAGCCGUGGGGAGCAAACAGG
rnacentral:rRNA from 1 species